AGUCAAGCUGUUGAUUGAUUUAAUAGUGAUCGCUUUUAUGUGUCUAUCACAAUGGGUGUGCGUGUGUGUGCCGUUGAGGGCAUCCAGGUUUAAUUUUUUGAAUGCAGCGAGCAGAUCAAUAGCAGAACAAAGAGUCGUCUGGAGAACACAGGUGAGUAUCUCCCCUUGACCCCCACCCUCUCCUACCCACCUCCUUGUAGAUGAUCUCAUGGACCGCGUCUUCAGUCCAGACAUAUAAAACACCCUCUGGACGGAUCUCCCCAACCGCUCUCCCCCUCCCCCCUUUUUUUUUCAUCAUUCGUCCUCUUACAUUGCCUAAACUCAUGAAAAACAGUUAAACAGUUGACACUUAUGGAGGGGAGAGGGGGGGGGGUUAAGAAGAGGAAGAUCAUCGAAAGAUCGAGACAUAUGCAAAUUUCCUCUACCACAGUUUUUCUUCUUCACCCAGCCCCCUAUUCAUUGCAACACGUUAAUUGUUUUCGCCCCCCUAUAAUCUAACAUGCAAACACACAUACACAAUGACACACACACACACGCGCGUACACAAAUGCAACUAAGUACUUCGGCAUAUGCUCAGAAAGCCCCUCACAGGACAAGACGCUACAGACAAUAGGAAGCGAACGCCAAGAGAGGAGCAACCUGGGAUAGCCGUGUCAAUCCCUCGCCACAUCUCGACAGGUGCAAGUUAGGUCUGAAGUCUCUACAAGAACAGAAAAAGAGGGGGCACACCAAUCACUUCCGGCAGCGUUUGAAAUUGUCUGCUAAUCUAACGUGAUCGUUCCAUUCGCUCGUGGGUAGAACUUGGCGAGCGAAUGGGUGGAUCAUGCACGCUUGGUAGGCCAGUCAACAGGACCACUUGGUAGGCCAGUCAACAGGACCACUUGGUAGGCCAGUCAACAGGACCACUUGGUAGGCCAGUCAACAGGACCACAAUAACUUGUAGGUGGACCAUGCACGCUUGGUAGGCCAGUCAACAGGACCACUUGGUAGGCCAGUCAACAGGACCACAAUAACUUGUAGGUGGAUCAUGCACGCUUGGUAGGCCAGUCAACAGGACCACUUGGUAGGCCAGUCAACAGGACCACAAUAACUUUUAGGUGGACCAUGCACGCUUGGUAGGCCAGUCAACAGGACCACUUGGUAGGCCAGUCAACAGGACCACUUGGUAGGCCAGUCAACAGGACCACUUAGUAUGCCAGUCAACAGGACCACUUGGUAGGCCAGUCAACAGGACCACAAUAACUUGUAGGUGGACCAUGCACCUAUGGUAGGCCAGUCACCAGGACCACUUGGUAGGCCAGUCAACAGGACCACUUGGUAGGCCAGUCAACAGGACCACUUGGUAGGCCAGUCAACAGGACCACUUGGUAGGCCAGUCAACAUGACCACUUGGUAGGCCAGUCAACAGGACCACUUGGUAGGCAAGUCAACAGGACCACUUGGUAGGCAAGUCAACAGGACCACUUGGUAAGCCAGUCAACAGGACCACUUGGUAAGCCAGUUAACAGGACCACUUGGUAGGCCAGUCAACAGGACCACUUGGUAGGCCAGUCAACAGGACCACUUGGUAGGCCAGUCAACAGGACCACUUGGUAUGCCAGUCAACAGAACCACUUGGAAGGCCAGUCAACAGGACCACUUGGUAGGCCAGUCAACAUGACCACUUGGUAGGCCAGUCAACAGGACCACUUGGUAGGCAAGUCAACAGGACCACUUGGUAGGCAAGUCAACAGGACCACAAUAAAUUGUAUGUGGACCAUGCACGCUUGGUAGGCCAGUCAACACGACCACUUGGUAGGCCAGUCAACAGGACCACUUGGUAGGCAAGUCAACAGGACCACUUGGUAGGCAAGUCAACAGGACCACUUGGUAGGCAAGUCAACAGGACCACUUGGUAGGCCAGUCAACAGGACCACUUGGUAGGCCAGUCAACAGGACCACUUGGUAGACCAGUCAACAGGACCACAAUAACUUGUAGGUGGACCAUGCACGCUUGGUAGGCCAGCCAGCAGGACCACAAUAAAUUGUAGCUGGACCAUGCAAGCUUGGUAGACCAGUCAACAGGACCACAAUAACUUGUAGGUGGACCAUGCAAGCUUGGUAGACCAGUCAACAGGACCACAAUAACUUGUAGGUGGACCAUGCACGCUUUGUAGGCCAAUCAACAGGACCACAAUAAUUUGUAGGUGGACCAUGCACGCUUGGUAAAUAGUCAACAGGACCACAAUAAAUUAUAGGUGGACCAUGCACGCUUGGUAGGCCAGUCAACAGGACCACAAUAAAUUGUAGGUGGACCAUGCACGCUUGAUAGGCCAGUCAACAGGACCACAAUAAUUUGUAGGUGGACCAUGCAGAGUUUAAAGCUAUGGUAGGCCAUUCAAUGAGAUUCCACAUUAAAUCGUGAGUGAUCACCUUAUGCUUGAUAAAUCAACCACCGACACUGCUAAUCAACAAAUUGAAGAUUUUAUUUUAACGUUAUUUGUAUUCUGAUGUUUUCAUUCUCUCUUUCAUUAUCAGUAUAUAGAUGUAUAGAUGUAUGCCUGGUCGUGGGAUAUGCAAACAGAAACAAGAGAAACAAAGCAUGUUUCAUGGUCUCACAACCAGAAAUGUCCAACUUUGUUCAAAAAUUGUUCAUUAGUUUAUCCUAUUUCCCCGCUGUUUUUCAAAUUUUCUUUAAUUAAUGAGCGUUUCAUUAAUGUUAAAUAAGUUUGUUUUACGAGCGUAUCUUGUCUUAUAAGUUUACCUUGUCUUAUUUAGUUUUAGACGUUACGUCUCAGCUCAAAUCUUCUGAAGGGGAGGGCAGUGAGCAGGGUUUGAACUUUGACCAUCGUGACGCCAGUAUACCUCACGACCAGGCAGCUAUCUAUUUAAGGCACCAAAGGCAAGGGGAGUGAACAAUUACUCUUCCCCUCAUCAACCAGCAAUUAUCUCCUCAUGCAUGCAUGAUUACAGAUUGGUGAUAUCUUAUGUUGAUGUAUCUUACAAACAGAUUUGACAUUGUGUUUCAAUAAAAUGAAAUCUUACAA